CUGAGGGAGGACUGAGGCGGGCCUCACCCCAGGCAGAGGGCCCCCAAUAAUCCAGCGCUGCCUCUGCUGCCGGGCCUGGACCACUGCGCAGGGGAAGACUUCUCAGGCUGAGUCGCCACCACCUCACCCCGCCACCCCCCGCCGCUUUAACCACGGGGAACUCUGGCAUAAGAGCUUUCUGUGACCAGGGCAGGGCUGGUUAGAAGUGCCCAGGGCCCAGACUCAGCCAGGAAUCAAGGUCAGGACCCCAAGAGGGGACUGAGGGCAACCCACCCCCCACCCUCACUACCAAUCCCAUCCCCCAACACCAACCCCACCCCCAAACCCCAUUCCCAUCCCCUCCCCCACCACCAUCCUGGCAGAAUCCGGGCUUUGCCCCUGCAAUCAACCCACGGAAGCUCCAGGAAUGGCGGCGAAGCACGCGGAUCCUGACGUUCACAUAUCUCGGGGAGUUGAGGACCUUGUUUUCAGAAGGUGACUCAGGUCAACACAGGGGCCCCCAUGUGGUCGACAGAUGCAGUGGUUCUAGGAUCUGCCCAGCAUCCAGGUGGGGAGCCUGAGGUUCUGAGGGGACAGGCUGACAAGUAGGACCCGAGGAACUGGAGGAGCAUUGAAGGAGAAGAUCUGUAAGUAAGCCUUUGUCAGAGCCUCCAAGGUUCAGUUCAGUUCUCACCUAAGGCCUCACGCACGCUCCUUCUCUCCCUAGGCCUGUGGGUCUUCACUGCCCAGCUCCUGCCCGCACUCCUGCCUGCUGCCC
rnacentral:sRNA from 1 species